rnacentral:tRNA from 1 species
GCACUGGUGGUUCGGCGGUAGAAUUCUCACCUUCCAUGCAAAAGACCUGGGUUCAAUUCCUGCCCAGUGCA